rnacentral:rRNA from 1 species
GACGAACGCUGGCGGCGCGCCUAACACAUGCAAGUCGAACGGAGCUUUGAGAGCUUGCUUUUAAAGCUUAGUGGCGAACGGGUGAGUAACGUGUGAGUAACCUGCCCUGGAGUGGGGGACAACAGUUGGAAACGACUGCUAAUACCGCAUAAGCCCACGGCCCGGCAUCGGGUUGAGGGAAAAGGAUUUAUUCGCUUCAGGAUGGACCCGCGUCCAAUUAGCUAGUUGGUGAGGUAACGGCCCACCAAGGCGACGAUCAGUAGCCGGCCUGAGAGGGUGAACGGCCACAUUGGGACUGAGACACGGCCCAA